rnacentral:rRNA from 1 species
CGACCGCUGGCGGCGUGCUUACCACAUGCAAGUCGAACGGCAAGGCCCUGCUUUUGUGGGGUGCUCGAGUGGCGAACGGGUGAGUAACACGUGAGUAACCUGCCCUUGACUUUGGGAUAACUUCAGGAAACUGGGGCUAAUACCGGAUAGGAGCUCCUGCUGCAUGGUGGGGGUUGGAAAGUUUCGGCGGUUGGGGAUGGACUCGCGGCUUAUCAGCUUGUUGGUGGGGUAGUGGCUUACCAAGGCUUUGACGGGUAGCCGGCCUGAGAGGGUGACCGGCCACAUUGGGACUGAGAUACGGCCCAGACUCCUACGGGAGGCAGCAGUGGGGAAUAUUGCACAAUGGGCGGAAGCCUGAUGCAGCAACGCCGCGUGCGGGAUGACGGCCUUCGGGUUGUAAACCGCUUUCGCCUGUGACGAAGCGUGGGUGACGGUAAUGGGUAAAGAAGCACCGGCUAACUACGUG